rnacentral:pre_miRNA from 1 species
AUUCACCUGAAAGUUAUAGUUUUAGUUACAGUUAUGAAAAAGGGAAUAAGGUUUCCCUUUUUCAUAACUGUAACUAAAACUAUAACUUUCAGGUGAAUG